rnacentral:rRNA from 1 species
AUGGGCCAGGCCCAGCUUGCGGAGAGGGAGAGGCCAAGGCAGGCCUCCUUGCCAGCAGCAGGCCGGCUGGGAGAUGGGCUUCGCGCGUGGCUGGAGGUCGACCCGCUCGGGCAGGUUGACAACGCGGUCAACCUACGCGUGGUUGACUGGCCUCGCUCGACGCAGCGGCAGCGGUCAGAGGAGGUGUCGAGCGGGACUUGCAGCGGCGGGGCAGGGAAACGGCGGCCAGGAACAGACGGGGACAAGCGGGAUACAGCCGCGGGGGCGCCGGAUCUGACCGGAGGCGAGACGGAGGCGACCCACGACGAAGCUUGGGGCGGCAUCCAUGGCGCUGUGGUUCAGAGAAGCAAAGAGCAGUUUCAGAGAUACGGGAAAAGAGAUAGGAUGCGGAGACAGAGAAGGAAAAGGGACGGCCGGAGGUGCUGUCCUGGGUGCGACGAAGUCCGGCGAGGACGAGGGCUGGAGUACGGCGCCAGGGGUACGCUGCUUGGAGCUGCUCCGGUGACCUGCGGCUCGCGGACACGGCUGAAGCGGGCGCUCCGCUCGGGAAGAAACGCUGCUCGAUCCACACGAGAGGAGGGCGAGCGGGGAGGCCGGGCAUGGUCGGGGUGGCCGGCGUGCUGGAGAGAAGCUCCGGCGAGUUGGUCGGGGACACGGGGUGACGGCGGCGCAGAACGAUGA